rfam:Verticillium dahliae VdLs.17 supercont1.19 genomic scaffold, whole genome shotgun sequence.
UCCCUGGUGGCCCAGUUGGUUAAGGCGUCCGACUGUUAACAACAGAUCAAUCGGGAGAUCGACAGUUCGAACCUGUCUCGGGGAG